rnacentral:rRNA from 1 species
CCUACGGGCGACAGCAGUGAGGAAUAUUGGUCAAUGGGCGUAAGCCUGAACCAGCCAAGUCGCGUGAGGGAUGAAGGUUCUAUGGAUCGUAAACCUCUUUUAUAAGGGAAUAAAGUGUGGGACGUGUCCUAUUUUGUAUGUACCUUAUGAAUAAGGAUCGGCUAACUCCGUGCCAGCAGCCGCGGUAAUACGGAGGAUCCGAGCGUUAUCCGGAUUUAUUGGGUUUAAAGGGUGCGUAGGCGGCCUUUUAAUUCAGCGGUGAAAGUCUGUGGCUCAACCAGAGAAUUGCCGUUGAAACUGGGGGGCUUGAGUAUGUGUGAGGCAGGCGGAAUGCGUGGGGUAGCGGUGAAAUGCUUAGAUAUCACGCAGAACCUCGAUUGCGAAGGCAGCCUGCCAAGCCAUGACUGACGCUGAUGCACGAAAGCGUGGGGAUCAAACAGGAUUAGAUACCCCUGUAGUC